rnacentral:lncRNA from 1 species
GGGAGGGUAAGGUGUUAGAGUGACAGCCGAGUCCAGUUAAGGGAAUGUGAAAGUGGACCCACUAAUUGGUCUGUUGUUUGCGUGUUGACACGUCCUUCCCGAAAAUUGUAGAAACUCCCUUUUUUUUUAUUUUUUACUGUGUGGUGGUAAGGUGAAAUAUCAUAGUCACGUGGUUUCUAUUAAGGUAAAAUAAGCAAGAGGAGAAAGUGAAUGUGUGUGCGCAACCUUUUUAUUCUUCAAUGUUGAGGAGGUAUGAUGAGAUUGCAUGAGAAAGGAGGGAGAAGAUGGGUGGGACCGUCCCAAGAAGGCCACGAAGGAAAAGUGGAAAACGUGUUAUCCCGUCGAC